rnacentral:rRNA from 1 species
AUGGAACGAGACCUUCUUCUUUGCCGUCUCCAGCGACGCCCCAGAGCUCAGGGUCAAGAUCCUCUCGGCGGACGACCUCGUAAGAGAAGCAUGACUGGGGUGUGCAGUACUUCCGCAGGUGCCACGAAUCCGGAGCCUGAUGUUGCUGCUGAAGAGCAGAGCGAUCAAGCUCCCCCAAAGGGACAUCUAGAGGACCUUACUCAUCAGGUGCACAUGAGUGUUCUGGACGACAUGGUCUCCUUUUCGGCAUGUGCAAGUGUUGGGUGGUGCUUGCCUACAUGGUUUACGACAAGCUGCAGUUCAGGUGGGCGCUCCAGCUCUCCCUUCUCAUGCUAUACAUCCAGAGCUCCAGGCCUAAGAAAGUUGGAAGUGCGAAGAUGUGAAGAAAAGCGCGAAGCCGUGAAGUGCUACUCAGCAAAGAGUUGUCAGCUCUAUUUGACUGUAAUAUUGUAA